ACGCUCGACACCUACGGGAGCAGCAGUGGGGAAUAUUGCACAAUGGGGGAAACCCUGAUGCAGCGACGCCGCGUGAGUGAAGAAGUAUUUCGGUAUGUAAAGCUCUAUCAGCAGGGAAGAAAAUGACGGUACCUGAGUAAGAAGUCCCGGCUAACUACGUGCCAACAGCCGCGGUAAUCUGAGCGGGCUGGCAAGGC
rnacentral:rRNA from 1 species